AUGGAGAAUUCGAGUUCCUUAUUCAGAUAUUAAGCCAAUCUUACUCUUUCCAAUGUCAUCUGGGUGACCCAAUUGUGACAAGAAUGUCCAGAUACAGUUUGGUGUUGUGAACUGGUUGGCUUCCCCAUUUUGCAUGUAGAAAUCUGCAGUUACUGGCCUGAAAUACCAGUACACAGAGAAAUAUGUCAGCACUUCAACUGACUAUGGGUAGCAAGGAUUGUCAAAAUUUUCUUUUGGAUCACAUAUUGACCAUUUAGGAGAAAUUGUCAUUGUGGAAUCACUUAAAAAUAACAUUUUGUCCAAUAAGACCUUUAGAAAACAUGGGACCCAGAUAAAUGCUGAAACCUCAGAAUUAAGAGGAAAAUUUACAAGCUGUCAGCUAGAGGCAGAUUCAACCGUAUCACAGGAAAUGUGGUAGAAGUUCCGAGUAAGGAAUUAUUUCAGCAGCCAUGAAAGCUGCCUGCAUAAGAAAGACUCAGUGUGCAACAUCUGAAAGCACUAUCAGACAGAACUACAAAAAUAGAAUACACACUCAAUGGGCUGACCAACUGAUUCAUAACAUCUUUAUUGGAGAAUGAACUUUCUUUUUCUCUCCAGGCCCCCUGUAACCCCUGUCUGGUAUUUUCUACAUGACUGAUUCCUCUCUAGAGCCAGAACUAUGGAAUCUGAAGAGAAUCUGUAUUUCUUUAAAAAGAAUAAAUAUCUUAUGACACUCUUU
rnacentral:lncRNA from 1 species